rnacentral:lncRNA from 1 species
UGUGGAAAUCAGUUCUAUAUAGUUCGGUUUAAAUAGUAGUUGAACUUAAAAAUAACCUUAAAAGUGUUUAGAGCUAAAUCUAAGAGAUAUAUACAUACUCUAACUCCCAGAAUGCUGGUAUUGUUUUACUUUUCAUUGUCUACAUUAUAUUUAUGUUUCUGUGUACAUAAGGGGUGAACUGACUGAAAUAAUGUCAGUUUGCUUUAUGGAGCUAAAUAUUUGUACCAGCUUAUACUAUCACUUCCUUAAGCAAUAUUUGAUCACAUAAAUACAGUUUGAGGGCGAUGUAGUACAAUGUAUAUCCCUAAACGGCUUGUCGUCAGGCCAUAAAUCUGGCAACUUAAUCUAGAGUUCAAUAUAUUUUACAUUUAAAUUGCAGUGUGUCAAUUUUAGCGGCAUCUAGCGGUAAGUCUAAAAAUCAAAGAUUCAAAAAGGGUGUUUACACAGUGAUGCCAUAGUAAAGAACCAUUUUAUUUCCGAAAGAACAUAUCGAUGAACAGUUCUUAGCAGAACCAUUUUUAUUAGUGUGAAGAACAUUUUCACAUUUUUUUCUCUUUUAUCUACAUCGUCACACUUUGUCACCGGGAGACUUCUAAAAGUGCUUCUUUCCCAGUGUUCAGGAGUCGGUGAGUCAUGUGUUUUAAAUACCAAUAAAAGACGAUGAGACAAUCAUAUUCUAAAGGCGAUUGUAAGGGUUGCUCAUAAACUAGAAGAAUUCUGAUAAAACGUUGCAACAUGUGAUUUGCAGUUCCUGCCCUCUUCUGCCAUCUAGUGUUGAAUGUUAGCAGUUGCAGGCUUAUUCGUCAUAUAAUUAAUGUGUACACACCUCACUUUAGUGCGCUGUCUGUGUAAUUAAUGGUUGGAUUAUAAGACCUAAACACGGAGGCACUGAAUGUGAUUUGUUUACCUCUGAGUUCCAGACGUCCAUCUCUAUCAAUGUCUGCUGACUCCAUAAUGACCUGUGUGUCUUCACCUGACAGAGGCGCCUGGGGUAGGAUACAGACCAUGGACAAAAUAUCAGAGAAAGAUGUUGUUCGGCCAGAGAUGAUGACAGUGCACAAAAAGACUGACAAUGUAAAAGUGGGCUGUGAAUGCUUAAAAUACAGUCUUGUGAUGAAUUUCACACUGUUAAAUGACAGCGUGUGGACUCCUCCUGCACCUCUGAGGAUUUCAACUCUGUCAUGAAAUCUAGAAACAUACUGUACUAUUUUUCUGGUGAGAGAGGAAAGGACCCAUUCAAUAACUUGAAGACACUUUAAUGACACAAGAUGUUUUUGCAAGCGUUACAUGCAUCUGAAUUUGAUGCCGCAGAUACGUGAACAUGUAAUGAGUCGAACAUAAAAGGAACAUUUAAAAAAAAAAAUGUUUGAAUUACCAUUUGACACCAUUGAUAAUAUAUUAUCAUAUACUUUUGGUGUCUUUUUUUUCAUCUAUUUAUACAGACAGCAUUUGACACCAUUGAUAAUAUAUUAUCAUAUACUUUUGGUGUUUUUUUUUUUAAAUCUAUUCAUACAGACAGCUAUGUAUAUACUGUAAGAAGAGACUAAACCAUAUCAUUGCACUUCUGAUAAAGCAUAUCAGAAGUAAGACCUAAAAAUGAAUUUUGAUUCAGAAACUGGAUGUGUAUUAAAGACUACCAUUUCAAAUAUGGAUAAAAAAACAAUAAAUCAAUAAAUAUCCACAGCAUAUUAUCAGAUUAAUUUAAGGCACUGACUAGUCAAUAGUAUUCUUAUAAUGCAGUGAAUUGUAUCUUGUUGCCUCAUCUGGAAUUUGAUCAAUGUCUUUCUCACUCAGAUUCUCCAUCAUGCCCAGAGCAACUUCAUCUGCGGUCCAAAGCCAUCUGCUGUUAUGUCAGCUUAAAUAUAUUUGGAAGUUUCAGUAUCAAAAUAGAUGCAACAUUUUAGCUCCAGUAACCCUCUCUAGAUGCUUGUGUAAGCAUAACGUCUUUAAUAAUAAUGACUGACGCAGAGAUGUUAUCAUGUACUGUAUAAAUGAGUGUUUACACGACGGGUGAAAGAUGUUUUAAUAAUUGUAAUGAUCAUUAACUCUCACCAUUUGAAUAAUGAGGGAAAUGAAGUCUCGAGUCUAUGGCUCCUCUGAGAGGCAGCAUCUUACUUCCCCCAAAGGCACGACUUGCAAUAUGACUUAUGUUAAUGAAGCAAAAGUGUGGCCUUAAAAGACCUGGUUGGAGACCUGACAGAAACAGCAUUGUUGUUCUUGUUUUGCCAUCAAUAACCUGUGAAUUUAUGCAAUUAAAAUGUACGUUCUUUGAUCAUCUGCCAUCAUUUAUGUCCACUCUGUACCUUAUAGAAAUAGUUCACCCAAAAAUAAACAUUUACUAAAAAUCUACUCACCCUCAGGGUAUCCAAGAUGUUAAUGUGCUUGUUUAGUUAGUUUAGACAGCUGAUAAAAACAUAAACAGUCCAUCCGUUAAUGUCUUGUGAAGCAAAAAAAAAAAGUUCAUCCAUCAUUAAGAUGUUUAUCAAUCAUUAAGAACUUAAAAUUGCUGCUUCCAGCUCAAAUGGAGUCCUCUAUCCAUAUAUUGCUUUCUCUAUUGAAAACUUUUAUCAAGUCUGAAUCAGGAGAGAAAUAUGCACAGAUCAAGCACGGUUUUACAUGUUCUAAAGAAAUAAAUCAGCCAGGAACAAUAGUUUAAGUUUAAAUGCCUUAGUGAUGGAUUCAUUUCAUACAGACAUGAAAAACUACUCAUUUACAUAUUGGAUGGCCAGAGAGAGAGAGAGAGUACAUUUUAAGCAAAUUUAGAUUUCUUGGGUGAUUUAUUCUUUUAACUGUACUCUGCCAGCAGAUCUCUAUUUUUGGUCUGAGAUUAAUAUAACAACAGCUGUUAUUUGUACUGGAAAUGUUCCUAAAAUAAGCAGUACAUUAUUUAACUGGCUAUUUUUAGUCAGUUACAAAGAG